GUUGGCACGUAACUUUUUUUUUAAAGAGCAGUUUUUGUCCUUUGCUUCUUCUUUAUGGAUGUCUUGUGGAAAUAUAUGACGGGUAUGAAACAAAUUAACUAUAUUGAUCAUAUCAACACUGUAACUGCUAAAAUGGCAUUCUAAUGUUUGCUUUUUGUUGGGUCAGGCCAUAUGAUGCAUAGAGCCUCUUUCAUGUGAAAUGCAUCUACUGCUUAAAUGUGUAUGCUGUGUUGAUAUUAUAUUGACAUAUGAUGCUGUAUCCGUGUGCCUGUUGUGUGAAGAAAGGGAUUACAAGAUGUAUGAAUAUAAUGAUUUGCUAACCUUGAAGGAUUCAGAGUUACAAAACGAUGAAGAAAGACCAAAUUAAAUAAAACACUUCAUCAUUUUCAUGUGUCGUGUGUAAAAGCUUAAAGUACCAUCUUUGCUGAGGUGGUUCCUGUAUUCAAUUUAUCCAGUACAGUUCUUUGUCAAGUUUAGCUUUGAUUUCAAAGGACAAGGACAUGCUUACCUUGUCCAGCAUAGGAAUUAAUGGUCAUGUGUGAAGAGGUCAGGUGGGUCUCAGGUGGGAGAAUUUAAAAUUCCUUUUUCCAUUUGGUUAAGAUGUUGCAGUCAGGAACCCCAACUCACUUGAUAUGUUUUUACAUGUGAUCAUUUCCCUUGAAGCUUACACUUCAUAAGGGAUACAAGAAUAUAGGUGAGAUGGGAAAACUUCUUGGCAGACCUUCAUCUUCUGCUUCAACUAUAAACCAGAUGUAAAUGUUCAAAGGAGACUGUUUUCAUUCUUGUGGUAUUUAACAUUCAGAAAUUUGCUUCAGCAUUGGAAAUACCUCAAGCUGUUUUUAUUUUGCAGCAUUUUCCCAGACACGUAGAAACGAGCGAACAGCUUCGACAAUUUCGGGGCGCUGGUAUUUUCUUGACUGGGGAGUUCUGCAGCAUCCAGAGGUACAAGAAGAUAAAAAUCAGUAUCCCGACGCAGCUCCUUGCAGCAUAUUCUCAGCACAAGGAACAAUAACGCCCUCACAAAUUUUCAUCAGCGGAAAAAACGGAUUGUAUCCGUGUAAGAGGAGUUAUCUUUUUUGUUUUGUAUUUCAUGCAGCUUCACAACUUAAUAGGCCAACCCAGUGUUUUUUCAACGUCUAAACAAUGGCUCAAGGUUUGCUAAGUUUUUAAAACGCCUUCUCGUCCCAAAUAGACUAAUAUUCUACGACAGCCUGGUCUCACAUUAAUUUUAUGUUAGUUAAAAAGUACAGGACACGUCACUCUUCGCCUCUCUGGUCUCAAAAGUCAUUUGCUUCUCCCAGCCUUAGCUCCAGGGACCACCCGCCUGAAAGGCAUCCGCCGGGUUAGG
rnacentral:lncRNA from 1 species